rnacentral:rRNA from 1 species
GUAGGAUAUUUGAGAGGAGCUGUCCUUAGUACGAGAGGACCGGGAUGGACGGACCGCUGGUGAAUCUGUUAGGAAUCAAUCCUAUGGCAGAGUAGCCAAGUCUGGAAGGGAUAAACGCUGAAGGCAUCUAAGCGUGAAGCCCCCCUCAAGAUGAGAUAUCCCAUUCGAAAGAAGUAAGACCCCUUGAAGACGACGAGGUAGAUAGGGCAGAGGUGGAAGUGCAGUAAUGUACGGAGCUGACUGUUACUAAUCGGUCGAGGGCUUGACCAG